rnacentral:rRNA from 1 species
CCCGCUCGCCGGAAGACCAAGGGUUCCUGUCCAACGUUAAUCGGGGCAGGGUGAGUCGACCCCUAAGGCGAGGCCGAAAGGCGUAGUCGAUGGGAAACGGGUUAAUAUUCCCGUACUUGGUGUUACUGCGAAGGGGGGACGGAGAAGGCUAUGUUGGCCGGGCGACGGUUGUCCCGGUUUAAGCGUGUAGGUGUGUGUUCCAGGUAAAUCCGGUUCACUUUAACACUGAGGCGUGAUGACGAGGCACUACGGUGCUGAAGCAACAAAUGCCCUGCUUCCAGGAAAAGCCUCUAAGCAUCAGGUAACAUCAAAUCGUACCCCAAACCGACACAGGUGGUCAGGUAGAGAAUACCAAGGCGCUUGAGAGAACUCGGGUGAAGGAACUAGGCAAAAUGGUGCCGUAACUUCGGGAGAAGGCACGCUGACAC